GUUGCAGGUGAUGAGAAACAAGAUAGGGACAUCAGAACCCCUUUUGGGGAGUGAUCGACUAAGUCUCAAUGGGGAUCUCUGUGAUGCAUC
rnacentral:snoRNA from 1 species